rnacentral:pre_miRNA from 1 species
UACUUUUGUCCUAAGUCAAACUUCUUACAGUUUGACCAAAUUUAUAGAAAAAUAAACUAAUAUUACAAUAUCAAAUAAGUAUUCUAUGAAGAUAUAUAUCAUGACAGAAUUAAUAAAACUAAUUUGGAGUUGUUGGUGUUGAUAGACUUUUCUAUAAACUUGAUCAGGCUUGAAGAAGUUUGUCUUGGGACAAAUUUAG